GGAUUAGAUACCCUGGUAGUCCACGCCGUAAACGAUGUCUACUUGCAGCUCGGUUCGUAAGAACGGUUUUGCGAAGCUAACGCGUUAAGUAGACCGCCUGGGGAGUACGGUCGCAAGAUUAAAACUCAAAGGAAUUGACGGGGACCCGCACAAGCGGUGGAGCAUGUUCUUUAAUUCGAAGCAACGCGAAGAACCUUACCCACACUUGACAUCCUCCUUAGGACUUACAGAGAUGUUUGUCUUCGGUUCGGCCGGGGGAGUGACAGGUGCUGCAUGGCUGUCGUCAGCUCGUGCCG
rnacentral:rRNA from 1 species